CCAGUGUGUUUCGACACACUAUCAUUAACUGAAUCCAUAGGUUAAUGAGGCGAACCGGGGGAACUGAAACAUCUAAGUACCCCGAGGAAAAGAAAUCAACCGAGAUUCCCCCAGUAGCGGCGAGCGAACGGGGAGCAGCCCAGAGCCUGAAUCAGUAUGUGUGUUAGUGGAAGCGUCUGGAAAGGCGCGCGAUACAGGGUGACAGCCCCGUACACAAAAAUGCACAUGCUGUGAGCUCGAUGAGUAGGGCGGGACACGUGGUAUCCUGUCUGAAUAUGGGGGGACCAUCCUCCAAGGCUAAAUACUCCUGACUGACCGAUAGUGAACCAGUACCGUGAGGGAAAGGCGAAAAGAACCCCGGCGAGGGGAGUGAAAAAGAACCUGAAACCGUGUACGUACAAGCAGUGGGAGCACGCUUAGGCGUGUGACUGCGUACCUUUUGUAUAAUGGGUCAGCGACUUAUAUUCUGUAGCAAGGUUAACCGAAUAGGGGAGCCGAAGGGAAACCGAGUCUUAACUGGGCGUUAAGUUGCAGGGUAUAGACCCGAAACCCGGUGAUCUAGCCAUGGGCAGGUUGAAGGUUGGGUAACACUAACUGGAGGACCGAACCGACUAAUGUUGAAAAAUUAGCGGAUGACUUGUGGCUGGGGGUGAAAGGCCAAUCAAACCGGGAGAUAGCUGGUUCUCCCCGAAAGCUAUUUAGGUAGCGCCUCGUGAAUUCAUCUCCGGGGGUAGAGCACUGUUUCGGCAAGGGGGUCAUCCCGACUUACCAACCCGAUGCAAACUGCGAAUACCGGAGAAUGUUAUCACGGGAGACACACGGCGGGUGCUAACGUCCGUCGUGAAGAGGGAAACAACCCAGACCGCCAGCUAAGGUCCCAAAGUCAUGGUUAAGUGGGAAACGAUGUGGGAAGGCCCAGACAGCCAGGAUGUUGGCUUAGAAGCAGCCAUCAUUUAAAGAAAGCGUAAUAGCUCACUGGUCGAGUCGGCCUGCGCGGAAGAUGUAACGGGGCUAAACCAUGCACCGAAGCUGCGGCAGCGACGCUGAUGCGUUGUUGGGUAGGGGAGCGUUCUGUAAGCCUGCGAAGGUGUGCUGUGAGGCAUGCUGGAGGUAUCAGAAGUGCGAAUGCUGACAUAAGUAACGAUAAAGCGGGUGAAAAGCCCGCUCGCCGGAAGACCAAGGGUUCCUGUCCAACGUUAAUCGGGGCAGGGUGAGUCGACCCCUAAGGCGAGGCCGAAAGGCGUAGUCGAUGGGAAACAGGUUAAUAUUCCUGUACUUGGUGUUACUGCGAAGGGGGGACGGAGAAGGCUAUGUUGGCCGGGCGACGGUUGUCCCGGUUUAAGCGUGUAGGCUGGUUUUCCAGGCAAAUCCGGAAAAUCAAGGCUGAGGCGUGAUG
rnacentral:rRNA from 1 species